ACGGAAGGCAGCAGUGGGGAAUAUUGGGCAAUGGUCGAAAGCCUGACCCAGCAACGCCUCGUGAAGGAAGAAGGUCUUCUGAUUGUAAACUUCUUUUAUGUGGGACGAAGAAAUUGACGGUACCACAUGAAUAAGCCACGGCUAACUACGUGCCAGCAGCCGCGGUAAUACGUAGGUGGCAAGCGUUAUCCGGAUUUACUGGGUGUAAAGGGCGCGUAGGCGGGAUGGCAAGUCAGAUGUGAAAUCUAUGGGCUCAACCCAUAAACUGCAGUUGAAACUGUAAUUCUUGAGUGCUGGAGAGGUAGAUGGAAUUCCUUGUGUAGCGGUGAAAUGCGUAGAUAUAAGGAAGAACACCAGUGGCGAAGGCGAUCUACUGGACAGUAACUGACGCUGAGGCGCGAAAGCGUGGGGAGCAAACAGGAUUAGAUACCCUGGUA
rnacentral:rRNA from 1 species